AGCGAACGCUGGCGGCAGGCCUAACACAUGCAAGUCGAACGAACUCUUCGGAGUUAGUGGCGGACGGGUGAGUAACACGUGGGAACGAGCCGUUUGGUUCGGAAUAACUCAGGGAAACUUGUGCUAAUACCGAAUGUGCCCAUCGGGGGAAAGAUUUAUCGCCAUUAGAGCGGCCCGCGUCUGAUUAGCUAGUUGGUGAGGUAACGGCUCACCAAGGCGACGAUCAGUAGCUGGUCUGAGAGGAUGACCAGCCACACUGGGACUGAGACACAGCCCAGACUCCUACGAGAGGCAGCAGUGGGGAAUCUUGCGCAAUGGGCGAAAGCCUGACACAGCCAUGCCGCGUGAAUGAUGCAGGUCUUAGGAUUGUAAAAUUCUUUCUCCGGGGACGAUAAUGACGGUACCCGGAGAAGAAGCCCCGGCUAACUUCGUG
rnacentral:rRNA from 1 species